CUGCUAAAGCGGAGGAGGAUGGGCACGGUAGGUCAGUAUGCCCCGAAUAUCCCGGGCUACACGCGAGCUACAAUGGUUGGUACAAUGGGGUAUCUACCCCCGAAAGGGGACGGAAAUCUCCUAAACCAAUCUUAGUUCGGGAUUGAGGGCUGCAACUCGCCCUCAUGAAGCUGGAAUCCGUAGUAAUCGCGUUUCAACAGAACGCGGUGAAUACGUCCCUGGCUCCUU
rnacentral:rRNA from 1 species